GACGAACCGUGCGAACGUUAUUCGGAAUCACUGGGCUUAAAGGGCGCGUAGGCGGGUUCUCAAGUCAGGGGUGAAAUCCCGCGGCUCAACCGCGGAAGUGCCUUUGAUACUGGGGACCUCGAGGGAGGUAGGGGCGUGCGGAACUUCCGGUGGAGCGGUGAAAUGCGUAGAUAUCGGAAGGAACACCGGUGGCGAAAGCGGCGCGCUGGACCUCUUCUGACGCUGAGGCGCGAAAGCCAGGGGAGCAAACGGG
rnacentral:rRNA from 1 species